AGAGAUGAUGACCGGUUUCGGAUCCGAUGGAUGAGGACAUCAGCUAUCGCUGAUC
rnacentral:ncRNA from 11 species